AGAAGAACAGCAUUACUGCUGUCAGUAAUAUUCAGUGUUAAUCAAUGCAACAAUAACUGAACAUUUGUGACAGUGAGAGUCAGCACUCUGAGCACAGUAAUUAAAGGGAGUAUCACACAAGUCUUGAUGAGUUCAAAACAUCGUUGGCAACAGUAUGUAUUCAUAAGGUUCAAGAGAAAAAUCAAUAAAGCACCAUUGCUAGAUCAAAAUCAUCCAAAAUACUGAAGAUUUCUACCAUCAGGUAUUGAGGAAACCAAGGAGUGACACAUGUCAAUAGACAAUUAGACAUCAUAACUAUAACAUCCUAAUUCAAUGGUUCAAAGGCUAACCAGCACAACAUGAUCAUAUCAAUACCUUAAACUUCGAGAUGAGUCCUUCCCACCACAUUUAAAGCACAUUUUUGGCAAUCCACUAAAGAAAAUAAAAAACGUCUAAAAUUCACUGUUCUUUGGUAGAAACCCAGCAUUACACUGUCAGUGAUAAAAACAACAAAUCAGAAGAAGAUAAUAUUCAACAU
rnacentral:misc_RNA from 1 species